CUUAUCAUGAUACCAAACUAGGGAUAUCCCCUUUCCAACAAAAAAAGAAUUAUUAAAAUCGGUAUUUCCAGUAGAAAGUUAUGCGGUAAAAUACAACGAAGGUCGACGAAAGAAUAGUGAAG